rnacentral:rRNA from 1 species
GGGGAAUAUUGGGCAAUGGGGGCAACCCUGACCCAGCGACGCCGCGUGGGGGAAGACGGCCUUCGGGUUGUAAACCUCUUUUGUACGGGAAGAAGGAAGUGACGGUACUGUACGAAUAAGUCCCGGCUAACUACGUGCCAGCAGCCGCGGUAAUACGUAGGGGACGAGCGUUGUCCGGAAUUACUGGGCGUGAAGGGCGCGCAGGCUGUGCUGCAAGUCAGCUGUUAAAUGUCUGGGCUUAACCCGGGCAUGCGGUUGAGACUGCGGUGCUGGAGUGCUGUAGAGGCAAGUGGAAUUCCCAGUGUAGCGGUGAAAUGCGUAGAUAUUGGGAAGAACACCGGUGGCGAAGGCGACUUGCUGGGCAGCAACUGACGCUGAGGCGCGAAAGCCAGGGGAGCAAACGG